rnacentral:rRNA from 1 species
CCUACGGGAGGCAGCAGUGAGGAAUAUUGGUCAAUGGGCGGGAGCCUGAACCAGCCAAGUCGCGUGAGGGAAGACGGUCCUAUGGAUUGUAAACCUCUUUAGGCGGGGAGUAAUGCCGGGCACGCGUGCCCGGAGGGAGAGUACCCGCAGAUUAAGCAUCGGCUAACUCCGUGCCAGCAGCCGCGGUAAUACGGAGGAUGCGAGCGUUAUCCGGAUUGAUUGGGUUUAAAGGGUGCGUAGGCGGAUUUUUAAGUCAGCGGUAAAAUGUCCGGGCUCAACCCGGGCCGGCCGUUGAAACUGGGGAUCUUGAGUGGGCGAGAGGUAUGCGGAAUGCGUGGUGUAGCGGUGAAAUGCAUAGAUAUCACGCAGAACUCCGAUUGCGAAGGCAGCAUACCGGCGCCCGACUGACGCUGAGGCACGAAAGCGUGGGGAUCGAACAGGAUUAGAUACCCUUGUAGUC